rnacentral:rRNA from 1 species
UGGGGAAUUUUACGCAAUGGGCGAAAGCCUGACGCAGCCAUGCCGCGUGAAUGAUGAAGGUCUUAGGAUUGUAAAAUUCUUUCACCGGGGAAGAUAAUGACGGUACCCGGAGAAGAAGCCCCGGCUAACUUCGUGCCAGCAGCCGCGGUAAUACGAAGGGGGCUAGCGUUGCUCGGAAUUACUGGGCGUAAAGGGCGCGUAGGCGGACAGUUUAGUCAGAGGUGAAAGCCCAGGGCUCAACCUUGGAAUUGCCUUUGAUACUGGCUGUCUUGAGUUCGGGAGAGGUGAGUGGAAUGCCGAGUGUAGAGGUGAAAUUCGUAGAUAUUCGGCGGAACACCAGUGGCGAAGGCGACUCACUGGCCCGAUACUGACGCUGAGGCGCGAAAGCGUGGGGAGCAAACAGGAUUAGAUACCCUGGUAGUCCACGCUGUAAACGAUGAGUGCUAGUUGUCGGCAUGCAUGCAUGUCGGUGACGCAGCUAACGCAUUAAGCACUCCGCCUGGGGAGUACGGUCGCAAGAUUA